GACGAACGCUGGCGGCGUGCCUAAUACAUGCAAGUCGAGCGGACUUUCAAGAAGCUUGCUUUUUGAAAGUUAGCGGCGGACGGGUGAGUAACACGUGGGCAACCUGCCUGCAAGACGGGGAUAACUCCGGGAAACCGGGGCUAAUACCGGAUAAUAUCUUCCUUCGCAUGAAGGAAGGUUGAAAGGCGGCGCAAGCUGCCGCUUGCAGAUGGGCCCGCGGCGCAUUAGCUAGUUGGUGAGGUAACGGCUCACCAAGGCGACGAUGCGUAGCCGACCUGAGAGGGUGAUCGGCCAAACUGGGACUGAGACACGGCCCAGACUCCUACGGGAGGCAGCAGUAGGGAAUCUUCCGCAAUGGACGGAAGUCUGACGGGGCAACGCCGCGUGAGCGAAGAAGGUCUUCGGAUCGUAAAGCUCUGUUGUCAGGGAAGAACAAGUACCGUUCGAACAGGGCGGUACCUUGACGGUACCUGACCAGAAAGCCACGGCUAACUACGUG
rnacentral:rRNA from 1 species